UACGUAGGGGGGCAAGCGUUGUCCGGAAUUAUUGGGCGUAAAGAGCUCGUAGGUGGCGGGUCACGUCGGGUGUGAAAGCCCGGGGCUUAACUCCGGGUCUGCAUUCGAUACGGGUCUGCUGGGGUCCGGCAGGGGAGACUGGAAUUCCUGGUGUAGCGGUGAAAUGCGUAGAUAUCGGGAGGAACACCAGUGGCGAAGGCGAUCACCUGGGGUUGUUCUGACGCUGAGGAGCGAAAGCUAGGGGAGCAAACAGG
rnacentral:rRNA from 1 species